AAGCAUAUUAACAGCUUUAAUAUUCAAACUAUUACUUCAUUAGAUCGAAGAUUUUCAGAUAUUGAUUUCAAAAAUCUUUUACUUCAUUUGUUUUGAACAUGCUUUCUGCGAUAUACGACCUCAUUAGUCAGACCUUGUCGUUUAUUAUUGCUGACGUUGUCGAAAACAGAUGAUAGCCGUCUCUAACAUUAAGGCAAUUUAAUUGAAU